rnacentral:piRNA from 1 species
UGAGGACAACAUCCGGAGAUGCUGAUGGU